GUGGCUCAGGAUGAACGUUGGCGGCGCGCCUAAUACAUGUAAGUCGAGCGAUGAGGCCCCUUCGGGGGUAUAUCAGUGGCGGAUGGGUGAGUAACACGUAGGUGACCUGCCCCGAAGACGGGGACAACCACUGGAAACGGUGGUUAAUACCCGAUGUGCUCGGUAAUUCGGUUUAUCGAGUAAAGCUCCGGCGCUUCGGGAUGGACCUGCGGCCUAUCAGCUAGUUGGUGGGGUAACGGCCCACCAAGGCUAAGACGGGUAGGGGGCGUGAGAGCGCGAUCCCCCACACUGGCAUUGAGAUAUGGGCCAGACUCCUACGGGAGGUAGUAGUUGGGGAUAUUGCACAAUUGGCGAAAGCCGGAUGCAGCGACGCCGCGUGGGCGAUGAAGGCCUUCGGGUUGUAAAGCCCUUUUCUGGGGGAAGAGAAAGGAUGGUAUCCCAGGAAUAAGUCCCGGCUAAUUAUGUGUUAGUAGUUGUGGUAAAAUGUAGGGGACAAGCGUUAUCCGGAUUUACUGGGCGUAAAGAGCGUUGAGGCGGUUCCGUAAGUUGGGUGUGAAAGUCCCGGGUUCAACCCGGGGAGGUUGUUUAAUACUGCGGAACUUGAGGACAGCAGAGGGAGGUGGAAUUUUUGGUGUAGUGGUGAAAUGUGUAGAUAUUGGGAGGAAUAUUAGUGGUGAAGGUGACCUCCUGGGCUGUUCCUGACGCUGAAGGCGAAAGCUAGGGGAGUAAACGGGAUUAGAAAUCCCGGUAGUCCUAGCUGUAAACGAUGGAUGCUGGGUGUGGGGGGUAUAGAUUCCCUCCGUGCCGAAGCUAAUGCGUUAAGCAUCCCGCCUGGGGACUACGGCCGCAAGGUUAAAACUCAAAUGAAUUGACGGGGACCCGCACAAGCAGCGGAGCGUGUGGUUUAAUUUGAUAUUAUAUGAAGAAUUUUACCUGGGUUUGACAUGCAGGUGGUAGUGAAGCGAAAGCAGAACGACCCUUCGGGGAGCCUGCACAGGUGCUGCAUGGCUGUCGUCAGCUCGUGCCGUGAGGUGUCGGGUUAAGUCCCGUAACGAGCGCAACCCUUACCCUUAGUUACAUGUGUUUAAGGGGACUGCCCGGGACAACUGGGAGGAAGGUGGGGACGACGUCAAGUCAGCAUGGCCUUUAUAUCCAGGGCUACACACACGCUACAAUGGCCGGUAUAAUGGGUUGCUAAGCCGUGAGGCGGAGCUAAUCCUUUAAAGCCGGUCUUAGUUUGGAUUGCAGGCUGUAAUUUGCCUGCAUGAAGCUGGAGUUGCUAGUAAUCGCGUGUUAGUAAUAGCGCGGUGAAUAUGUUUUUGGGUUUUGUAUAUAUUGCCCGUCACGUCAUGGAAGCUGGCAACACCUGAAGUUGGUGGGUUAAUUUGAAAGGGGGG
rnacentral:rRNA from 1 species